UAGGGGAUCUUCCGCAAUGGACGCAAGUCUGACGGAGCAACGCCGCGUGAGUGAAGAAGGAUUUCGGUUCGUAAAACUCUGUUGUUAGAGAAGAACAGCGCAUAGAGUAACUGUUAUGCGUGUGACGGUAUCUAACCAGAAAGCCACGGCUAACUACGUGCCAGCAGCCGCGGUAAUACGUAGGUGGCAAGCGUUGUCCGGAUUUAUUGGGCGUAAAGCGAGCGCAGGCGGUCAAUUAAGUCUGGUGUGAAAGCCCCCGGCUCAACCGGGGAGGGUCAUUGGAAACUGGUUGACUUGAGUGCAGAAGAGGAGAGUGGAAUUCCAUGUGUAGCGGUGAAAUGCGUAGAUAUAUGGAGGAACACCAGUGGCGAAGGCGACUCUCUGGUCUGUAACUGACGCUGAGGCUCGAAAGCGUGGGUAGCAAACAGG
rnacentral:rRNA from 1 species